UAGCAGUUCCUCCUGAAGGUCAGAGAUUGCAGCAUCUGAGGGCCUCUUCAAAAGAAGACGUAGUUGAUGAAGGUGUUCUGGAGCAGGACCAGAAAGACCACGACCAAGCAGCCUUGAGAUCUUAGGCAGCGUCUCCCUGAGGUCCCUCUCUAUCUCCCCACACAUCCACCAACCACUGGAACACAUCUCCAAAGUUCUGCUGGACCAGCUCAGCUUCCCCUCAGAAGAAGUGCUGCCACCUGCCAGAUGAAGGAGCCUUUUGAGAGGCAGCUGGCAUCGUGAUUGGACUGUACUUUGGUCUGUUCCAAUCCAGCUUCAGCUCCAGAGACGGCAGGCGGGACGAGUCAACGGAGGCCUGGUGAACGAAGGCAUGCAGCUGAGUACGAUCCAGAAAACAACAGAGGAGGAGUGCAGCAGCCCAGAGCCAGAACAACUAGAGUAGCAUCGUAUGUCUCUUAGAAAACAUCAUAGUAGAGCCUUUGGUAUGAAAAAACACCAUCAUAUACAUCGUAUAUUGUACAAAUAACAAGUCUAAGGAAAGAGACAUACAUUGUAGAAUUGUAGUAAUUGUGGGC
ensembl:lncRNA